ACCUACGGGGCGCAGCAGUGGGGAAUAUUGCACAAUGGGGGAAACCCUGAUGCAGCGACGCCGCGUGAGUGAUGAAGUAUUUCGGUAUGUAAAGCUCUAUCAGCAGGGAAGAUAAUGACGGUACCUGACUAAGAAGCUCCGGCUAAAUACGUGCCAGCAGCCGCGGUAAUACGUAUGGAGCAAGCGUUAUCCGGAUUUACUGGGUGUAAAGGGAGCGUAGACGGUAUGGCAAGUCUGAAGUGAAAGCCCAGGGCUUAACCCUGGGACUGCUUUGGAAACUGUUAGACUAGAGUGCUGGAGAGGUA
rnacentral:rRNA from 1 species